CUGGUUUCUCCUCCUUUCCCGUCGCCAGACUUGAUUUCGUGUAGCUGCGCUGCUCGUUUCUUCCGAUUGAUUUUGUUUUGAUAUAUAUAUUUUGAUACUUUUCCGUCGACACUUCAGUUGGCUUCGUCAUCUGGUCGCUGGGAUUUUCGGUCUCCGAUCGGUUGGUUCCCAGUAGACUCGUUCCCUUGAAGCAACAUCACCUGUUGUAUCCUGAGUUCGCUCUCAACUUGUGCCCUCGGAUUUUUCCGGCGCCGUAGGGCACGCGGCGACUCUUACAUACAUUAUCAAUCGAAAACCGAGUCAAACCAUCGGCAUCUUUGAUUUUUUUUCAAAAAAGGAAGCAUAUUUUGUGGUUCGUGCUGGCAACGGUGAUGAGUCCUACAGACCUGUAAUGACUCCUGCGGAGAUGAUCGCAUGGUCUAUAAGAACAUCUAAGGGACUGAGUUGUCUUUGAAUUCCUAGUUUGCACUUUUUUGUAGUCAGCGAAUGAUUACGAAUCCCUCUUGUUUUGUCUGUCUGGCUUCUCUUGAUUUCGGUGUGCCUGCGAGCCUUGAUGGUUUGUCGGCAGUGUCAAGAAUGUGAAGCAAAAACAAGCGGUGUUCCUCUCGCUAUCCGGCGCGGAAUUCUCUGAUGCGAUUGGACGUCGAGGAACUACACUUAACUACUCUUUUAUUUAUAUUUUUUCUUCGUGUUUUUAUGUAUUGUCAGAAUUUUGUUUCAUUAGUAAAACAGAAUUGCAUUUUCUUAAUUGAACAGAGCAAACACUGAACACCGAACUGAAUGGAGGAAAUAGCAUUCAUACCUGAUAAAAACCAGACUCUUGAUUGUUUCUUUAGGACAAAUGCUGCCGCCCAUGGAGCAAACCUGAUUUGUACUGUCUAAGUAGACCUAAGUAUUUUAAGUGUAUACUGAGACUAACCAGGUAACAAAAACUAACCAGGAUAAAUAAAAGUAAUUAAGGAUAAGUAUAAUAAUUGUUUUCAAAUAAUUUUACAACCUAAUGUAGUAAACAUUUUAGGCAAAUGGUGAUUAAAUUAAUUAUUUCAAACCGCAUGAGUUUGAUGUUGAUGCUCACCUUUCUCAAAGGAACUUGGACCUUUGCUCAAAGGAACUUAGGUGGUGGUCAGGUUGAGUUUCUGACGUUCAACCUUAUGUUCAACCUUCUUAGCGAAAAUCUCCUACAGCUCUUUAGUACCUUCUACUGUUAGUUCCUCAUUUAAUGCAAUAUUCUACUGGCAAUAUCUUCUGGAAUCCUAUAUGAUUCUUAUGUGCGAUAUGAGGGUAGAUAGUACACGGUGCAGGAAAUGCAUGAUUGUUUACCCUCACUUAAUU